rnacentral:rRNA from 1 species
CGUAGGGUGCGAGCGUUGUCCGGAAUUAUUGGGCGUAAAGAGCUCGUAGGCGGUUCGUCGCGUCGAAUGUGAAAUCCCGGGGCUCAACUCCGGGUCUGCAUUCGAUACGGGCGGACUAGAGUUCGGUAGGGGAGACUGGAAUUCCUGGUGUAGCGGUGAAAUGCGCAGAUAUCAGGAGGAACACCGGUGGCGAAGGCGGGUCUCUGGGCCGAUACUGACGCUGAGGAGCGAAAAGCGUGGGGAGCGAACAGGAUU